AAUGCAGCCAAAAAUAAAAAAUGAAUUAAAAAAAAAGACACAAAAAAGUUGAACAUGAAAGGAUUGAAAAAAAAGAAGAUGGGGAAAGUGCAGGUGGUUGACCCUAGAGGAAUUCAAGCAGAGCAUGAUUUUUGCUGCCUGGAGAAGGAAGUUUGGUUUGGAUUUACAAGUCUCAGGAGAAAGGCAAAUGCCUUUUCCUGGGCCUCUGUUGAAGCAGCCAGGUGCCACUUCCUGGAGCUGUUGCUGGUCCCUAACAUAGCCACAGAGAGCAUCAGGAUACAGGACACCGAAGGACCUCACUGUUCCAGAGCAUGUAGCAGGAAAUACGUCAAAUCCAUGCUCCAGACAUGCAGACUCCGCGGCACGUGGGAUCUUCCCAGACCG